UCCGGGCGUGUGAAGCUGUCUACUUGCUCGCCUGGUCGUAGCCAUCAAGUUAGGGGAAGUUGCUUCAAGGCUGUUAAACAGAGGAGAGUAAGUGGCCAGACGGGACGAGGACGAUCUCCAUCAGUAGUAGUCAACGACGGCAGGUCCAGAUGGGUCGAGCCAGCAGUAUGUUCCCCAAAUCUAAUCAUAUUACCAUUGGAACAAAGAUGUUCAGGAACUUGUUUUUCCAUCAUAGGCUUGAGAAGACCAAGUUUCCAAAAUCUGCUGAUGUGACCUUUGCAACAAAGAUGCUCUGAAACUUCCCAUCCUAGGCUUGUCAUUUUUAGACUUAGCUUGUACUUUAUCUAUACAUAUUUCUUAAGUCAUUUUUCUGUUAAUACGGCCAACGAUCUAUGUGGUUGCAUAUCAUCUGUUUAUUAUAAUGCCUGUGGCAUACAUUGUGUUCUAUUAAUGUGCUCAUGUUCCUUUUAUGAAUUAUUAGAAAGUUGCAGGCGUUGUAUAAUUCAAUCUCUAAUCCUGCCAAAAUUGCAGGAACUAUAUUCGUGUUCUGUGAACUGCAGGUCUGUACUGUUAUUGUUG